GAGAACUUAGCUUAAUUAAAGUGUUUGAUUUGUGGUUGAGUGAUGCAAGAUAAAGUCUUGUAGUUCUUA
rnacentral:tRNA from 1 species